AUUGAACGCUGGCGGAAUGCUUUACACAUGCAAGUCGAACGGCAGCACGGGUGCUUGCACCUGGUGGCGAGUGGCGAACGGGUGAGUAAUACAUCGGAACGUACCCAGUUAUGGGGGAUAACUAACCGAAAGGUUAGCUAAUACCGCAUACGCCCUGAGGGGGAAGGCGGGGGACCGUAAGACCUCGCGCCAUUGGAGCGGCCGAUAUCAGAUUAGGUAGUUGGUGGGGUAAAGGCCCACCAAGCCAACGAUCUGUAGCUGGUCUGAGAGGACGACCAGCCACACUGGAACUGAGACACGGUCCAGACUCCUACGGGAGGCAGCAGGGGGGAAUUUUGGACAAUGGGCGAAAGCCUGAUCCAGCCAUUCCGCGUGCAGGAUGAAGGCCCUCGGGUUGUAAACUGCUUUUGUACAGAACGAAAAGGCUUCUACUAAUACUAGGAGCUCAUGACGGUACUGUAAGAAUAAGCACCGGCUAACUACGUGCCAGCCGCCGCCGUAA
rnacentral:rRNA from 1 species